rnacentral:rRNA from 1 species
AUUGAACGCUGGCGGCAUGCCUAACACAUGCAAGUCGAACGGCAACAGACUAAGGGGUUCUGACUACUGGUGGACGGGUGCGUAAUGCUGCGGAAUGCACCCAGAGCUGGUGGUUAAUGCAGGGAAAGCUGGGCAAACAUCCCCUGUUACCUCAGGAUGACAGCGGGGGAACACACAGCAACGUUUGGCCUUGCGCCUUUGGAGCGGCCGAUGUCGGAUUAGCUAGUUGGCGGGGUAAAGGCCUACCAAGCCGACGAUCCGUAGCUGGUCUGAGAGGACGAUCAGCCACACUGGAACUGAGACACGGUCCAGACUCCUACGGGAGGCAGCAGUGGGGAAUAUUGGACAAUGGGCGCAAGCCUGAUCCAGCCAUACCGCGUGGGUGAAGAAGGCCUUCGGGUUGUAAAGCCCUUUUGUUGGGAAAGAAAAGCCGCUGGCUAAUACCUGGCGGUUAUGACGGUACCGAAAGAAUAAGCACCGGCUAACUACGUG